rnacentral:rRNA from 1 species
UACGUAGGGUGCAAGCGUUGUCCGGAAUUAUUGGGCGUAAAGGGCUCGUAGGCGGUCCAUCGCGUCGGGAGUGAAAAGCUGGGGCUUAACCCCAGUCCUGCUUCCGAUACGGGUGGACUAGAGGUAGGUAGGGGAGAACGGAAUUCCUGGUGUAGCGGUAAAAUGCGCAGAUAUCAGGAGGAACACCGGUGGCGAAGGCGGUUCUCUGGGCCUUACCUGACGCUGAGGAGCGAAAGCAUGGGGAGCGAACAGG